rnacentral:lncRNA from 1 species
GAUGACAUCUCCUGUACUAUAUCUAACUUCUUAAAUUUCUUACGAAUGACAUUUCACUAAUAUAAAGAGAUUGCUAUGUUAUCCCUUUCCAGCUUGAACUCAAGGAAGAAAAUAAAUCUAGCAUUUCAUUUUCUCUUGGCAGUUUGUAUUGCUUUCCAUAUUUCUUCUGCGGAUGAAAUGAGAUAGCUCCCAGAGCUUGCAGAAGAGGUGCAAUUAGUAAAAUUAUUUUUAUUCUUGAAAAUAAAGGCCCUUUUUUUCUAUAAGCCAUAUAAAUCCCUCACACUUCUGUGGAUUCACAGUUGAAAUGGUUUUUUUCCAUGCUAAUCACUCCAAAUAUUGCAAAUGGUGAUUUUUUUUUUUUUCCAUAUUUCUUCUGCGGAUGAAAUGAGAUAGCUCCCAGAGCUUGCAGAAGAGGUGCAAUUAGUAAAAUUAUUUUUAUUCUUGAAAAUAAAGGCCCUUUUUUUCUAUAAGCCAUAUAAAUCCCUCACACUUCUGUGGAUUCACAGCUGAAAUGUUUUUUUUUCCAUGGUAAUCACUCCAAAUAUUGCAAAUGGUGAUUUUUUUUUUUCAGAUAAAGGAAACUAAGCCUAUAACCUGGUCCAUAAAAAAUUAAGUAUCCCAUUGAACAGACUUAGGUGUUAAUCCUAGCAAAAUUCCAUUAGAAGCAAUCAUCCUGCUUAAAAAUCCUUUCAGCUUCUACUAGGCCUUGCAUUUCAGAUGACUUAAAAAUAGGAUAUUACAGUACAGAUCAUGCUACGCAACAGAUAUCAAAGAAAUACCAGGAUUAUAGGAGCUAGCUAUUGCUACGCAAGCUUUAAUCAAGUGAGAUUUAUUCAUCUAUAAAAGCGUCAUUCAAAACCACUAUGAAGAAAAAACUGAAGAACAGGCUUCAAAUCUUUGUAAAGACAUAAAUGAUAGACUGACAGAUGUUGAGUUUUUCAUAAACAGGCUACCGACUAGAGAACGAGGAGCAGCCGUGGGCACUGCAGGUGGCUCUCUGCUGCCCUCUAGGGGCUGUCACACAAACUUCCUUAUCAACAGAUUUCAGGAUGCAAUUGGGACAGUGAAAAGGAUCCAAAUUGUGAAGUAUAGAACUCAAAUUUCAAAGCAAAGUGUGACGAGCUGA